GAUGAACGCUGGCGGCGUGCCUAAUACAUGCAAGUCGAGCGAACGGACGAGAAGCUUGCUUCUCUGAUGUUAGCGGCGGACGGGUGAGUAACACGUGGAUAACCUACCUAUAAGACUGGGAUAACUUCGGGAAACCGGAGCUAAUACCGGAUGAUAUUUUGAACCGCAUGGUUCAAAAGUGAAAGACGGUCUUGCUGUCACUUAUAGAUGGAUCCGCGCUGCAUUAGCUAGUUGGUAAGGUAACGGCUUACCAAGGCAACGAUGCAUAGCCGACCUGAGAGGGUGGUCGGCGACACUGGAACUGGAACUCGGCCCAGAGGACUAAGGGCGGGAGCAGUAGGGACUGUGGUGCUAUGGGCGGAAGGCUGACGGAGCAACGCCGUGUGAGUGAAGAAGGUCGUGUGAGCGUAAAACUCGGCUAGUAGGGAAGAACAAAUGUGUAAGUAACUACGAACUGCGUGACGGUACCUAAUGAGAAAGCCACGGCGAACUACGUG
rnacentral:rRNA from 1 species